UACAGAGGGUGCGAGCGUUAAUCGGAAUUACUGGGCGUAAAGGGUGCGUAGGUGGUCUUUUAAGUCAGAUGUGAAAACCCUGGGCUUAACCUAGGAAUGGCAUUUGAUACUGGAAGACUAGAGUUCGGAAGAGGAAAGUGGAAUUUCAGGUGUAGCGGUGAAAUGCGUAGAUAUCUGAAGGAACAUCAGUGGCGAAGGCGACUUUCUGGUCCGAUACUGACACUGAGGCACGAAAGCGUGGGGAGCAAACAGG
rnacentral:rRNA from 1 species